CUACGGGGGGCACCAGUGAGGAAUAUUGCACAAUGGGGGGAACCCUGAUGCAGCAACGCCGCGUGGAGGAUGACGCAUUUCGGUGUGUAAACUCCUUUUAUAUGUCAAGAAAAUGACGGUAGCAUAUGAAUAAGCACCGGCUAACUCCGUGCCAGCAGCCGCGGUAAUACGGAGGGUGCAAGCGUUACUCGGAAUCACUGGGCGUAAAGGACGCGUAGGCGGGUUGGAAAGUCAGGUGUGGAGUCCUACAGCUUAACUGUAGAACUGCACUUGAAACUUCUAAUCUAGAGUAUGGGAGGGGGAGAUGGAAUUAGUGGUGUAGGGGUAAAAUCCGUAGAUAUCACUAGGAAUACCUAAAGCGAAGGCGAUCUCCUGGAACAUUACUGACGCUAAGGCGUGAAAGCGUGGGGAGCAAACAGGAUUAGAUACCCUUGUAGUC
rnacentral:rRNA from 1 species